CACCUGUUCCCAUGCCGAACACAGAAGUUAAGCUUCUAAACGCCGAGAGUAGUUGAGGGAUCGCCCUCUGCAAGGGUAGGACGUUGCCGCGCG
rnacentral:rRNA from 1 species